rnacentral:rRNA from 1 species
UACGAAGGGGGCUAGCGUUGCUCGGAUUGACUGGGCGUAAAGGGCGCGUAGGCGGUUCGUACAGUCAGACGUGAAAUUCCUGGGCUCAACCUGGGGGCUGCGUUUGAUACGUGCGGACUUGAGUGCGGAAGAGGGUCGUGGAAUUCCCAGUGUAGAGGUGAAAUGCGUAGAUAUCAGGAGGAACACCGGUGGUGUAAACGGCUUUCUGGACCAUAACUGACGCUGAGGCACGAAAGCGUGGGUAGCAAACAGG